rnacentral:rRNA from 1 species
GCUCACUAAGACCACACUAAAGGACAAAAAGACCCUCUGAAGCUUUAUAGGGAUAAAAUCUAGUAUCUCCAUGCCCCCCAUCACCCAAGACACACUCUGCGAGAAAGACAGGCAUUACUACUAUGCAACGACCGAAGUUAGUCUAAAG